rnacentral:misc_RNA from 1 species
AAGUCGUAACAAGGUUUCCGUAGGUGAACCUGCGGAAGGAUCAUUACAGAGUUCCUGCCCUUAUGGGUAGAUCUCCCACCCUUGAAAUCUUUACCUUUGUUGCUUUGGCAGGUCGUGGUCUCCACUACCGGCUUCGGCUGGUACGUACCUGCCAGAGAAUUCAACUCUUGAUUUUAGUGAUGUCUGAGUACUAUAUAAUAGUUAAAACUUUCAACAACGGAUCUCUUGGUUCUG